GCACAAUUUCUUUCAUCCUGACAUCUUGUAGCAAGGAGACAUCCUGGACUGGUGCAUGCUUCCAAUACUACCUCUGAGGGGAGCCAUUUUCCAACAGUUGUGAUUAGUGUCAUGGAAACCAUAUAUCUUUUUAAUCCUUGCAUCAUUACAUGGGCCUGAUUCUAUUCAUGCUUAAUUGACAUGAAUCAGAAAUAGGUCAGCAGAAGACCACAGCCCAUUUCAACUGAACACACAUCAAAUAAGAUGAAAACCCUUGAGGUACUUCUGUUGUUUUCAGUAUGGCACACAGAAGAGAAAGAGUAAAAUGAAACCGUACAGAAGAAAUAGCAUUAACUGAAAUCCUGAAUGGCAAGAAUCAUUUUCAAGACCACAACUUCACUUGGAGGUACAGGAGGAGGUGGAGGAAGAGAGAUGAAACAACUCAGCAAACAAACGGAAAUUGAAUAUAAUCAUUAUCGAUGAACAAAACUUCUUGGGAUGUCUUUCAACCUCCUUCCACUGAAUCACUCCAAAGUAAUAGUAGAUGAUUUAGACAAAUGAUCUGAGUUACUGAUUUCAUGGAUGGAGAGAAUGAGUAAGAAGCAUACUCUGUCCCUUGGCUGUCAUUCACUGCUUUACCAUAUCUGCACUCACAUCCCAGUGAAUGCGUUGAUUACUGUUCUGGAUUCUCCAUUUAAUAAACUGCAUUAAACUCUCCCUGGAAAAAAAAAGCAAA